CAGCAGCCACGGGAAUACGAAGGGUGCAAGCGCUACUCGGAAUUACUGGGCGUAAAGCGUGUGUAGGUGGUUGUUUAAGUCUGUCGUGAAAGCCCUGGGCUCAACCUGGGAAUUGCGAUGGAUACUGGGCAACUAGAGUGCGGUAGAGGAUAGUGGAAUUUCCGGUGUAGCAGUGAAAAGCGUAGAGAUCUGGAGGAACACCUGUGGCGAAAGCGGCUCACUGGACCAUAACUGACGCUGAUGCACGAAAGCUAGGGGAGCAAACAGGAUUAGAUACCCCUGUAGUCCCUGUCUCUUAUAC
rnacentral:rRNA from 1 species